rnacentral:rRNA from 1 species
GACGAACGCUGGCGGCGUGCCUAAUACAUGCAAGUAGAACGCUGAAGCGAGGAGCUUGCUCUUCUUGGAUGAGUUGCGAACGGGUGAGUAACGCGUAGGUAACCUGCCUUGUAGCGGGGGAUAACUAUUGGAAACGAUAGCUAAUACCGCAUAACAAUGGCUGACACAUGUCAUUUAUUUGAAAGGGGCAAUUGCUCCACUACAAGAUGGACCUGCGUUGUAUUAGCUAGUAGGUGAGGUAAUGGCUCACCUAGGCGACGAUACAUAGCCGACCUGAGAGGGUGAUCGGCCACACUGGGACGGAGACACGGCCCAGACUCCUACGGGAGGCAGCAGUAGGGAAUCUUCGGCAAUGGGGGCAACACUGACCGAGCAACGCCGCGUGAGUGAAGAAGGUUGUCGGAUCGUAAAGCUCUGUUGUAAGUCAAGAACGGGUGUGAGAGUGGAAAGUUCACACUGUGACGGUAGCUGACCAGAAAGGGACGGCUAACUACGUG